rnacentral:rRNA from 1 species
CCUACGGGAGGCAGCAGUGGGGAAUAUUGCACAAUGGGGGAAACCCUGAUGCAGCGACGCCGCGUGAGUGAAGAAGUAAUUCGUUAUGUAAAGCUCUAUCAGCAGGGAAGAAAAUGACGGUACCUGAGUAAUAAGCCCCGGCUAACUACGUGCCAGCAGCCGCGGUAAUACGUAGGGGGCAAGCGUUAUCCGGAUUUACUGGGUGUAAAGGGAGCGUAGACGGCAGUGCAAGUCUGGAGUGAAAGGCGUGGGCUCAACCACAGGACUGCUCUGGAAACUGUACGGCUGGAGUGCAGGAGAGGUAGGUGGAAUUCGUAGUGUAGCGGUGAAAUGCGUAGAUAUUAGGAGGAACACCAGUGGCGAAGGCGGCUUACUGGACUGUAACUGACGUUGAGGCUCGAAAGCGUGGGGAGCAAACAGGAUUAGAUACCCUAGUAGUC